rnacentral:rRNA from 1 species
ACUAAGCGUACACGGUGGAUGCCCUGGCAGUCAGAGGCGAUGAAGGGCGUGCUAAUCUGCGAUAAGCGCCGGUAAGGUGAUAUGAACCGUUAUAACCGGCGAUACCCGAAUGGGGAAACCCAGUGUGACUCGUCACACUAUCAUUAACUGAAUCCAUAGGUUAAUGAGGCGAACCGGGGGAACUGAAACAUCUAAGUACCCCGAGGAAAAGAAAUCAACCGAGAUUCCCCCAGUAGCGGCGAGCGAACGGGGAGGAGCCCAGAGCCUGAAUCAGCAUGUGUGUUAGUGGAAGCGUCUGGAAAGGCGCGCGAUACAGGGUGACAGCCCCGUACACAAAAGCGCAUGUGCUGUGAGCUCGAUGAGUAGGGCGGGACACGUGGUAUCCUGUCUGAAUAUGGGGGGACCAUCCUCCAAGGCUAAAUACUCCUGACUGACCGAUAGUGAACCAGUACCGUGAGGGAAAGGCGAAAAGAACCCCGGCGAGGGGAGUGAAAAAGAACCUGAAACCGUGUACGUACAAGCAGUGGGAGCCCCACCACCAAAGCGUUUCGCUUUGUGUGGUGCACAAAGAAGCGUAACGACAGCACUGAAUGACGGUUAACGGAGCGCAAGCGACGUUCAACAUACAAAGUCAAGCAGUGGAGCGCUUUGGGGUGGGGUGACUGCGUACCUUUUGUAUAAUGGGUCAGCGACUUAUAUUCUGUAGCAAGGUUAACCGAAUAGGGGAGCCGGAGGGAAACCGAGUCUUAAUUGGGCGUUAAGUUGCAGGGUAUAGACCCGAAACCCGGUGAUCUAGCCAUGGGCAGGUUGAAGGUUGGGUAACACUAACUGGAGGACCGAACCGACUAAUGUUGAAAAAUUAGCGGAUGACCUGUGGCUGGGGGUGAAAGGCCAAUCAAACCGGGAGAUAGCUGGUUCUCCCCGAAAGCUAUUUAGGUAGCGCCUCGUGAAUUCAUCUCCGGGGGUAGAGCACUGUUUCGGCUAGGGGGCCAUCCCGGCUUACCAACCCGAUGCAAACUGCGAAUACCGGAGAAUGUUAUCACGGGAGACACACGGCGGGUGCUAACGUCCGUCGUGAAGAGGGAAACAACCCAGACCGCCAGCUAAGGUCCCAAAGUCAUGGUUAAGUGGGAAACGAUGUGGGAAGGCCCAGACAGCCAGGAUGUUGGCUUAGAAGCAGCCAUCAUUUAAAGAAAGCGUAAUAGCUCACUGGUCGAGUCGGCCUGCGCGGAAGAUGUAACGGGGCUAAACCAUGCACCGAAGCUGCGGCAGCGACGCUUAUGCGUUGUUGGGUAGGGGAGCGUUCUGUAAGCCUGUGAAGGUGGCCUGUGAGGGUUGCUGGAGGUAUCAGAAGUGCGAAUGCUGACAUAAGUAACGAUAAAGCGGGUGAAAAGCCCGCUCGCCGGAAGACCAAGGGUUCCUGUCCAACGUUAAUCGGGGCAGGGUGAGUCGACCCCUAAGGCGAGGCCGAAAGGCGUAGUCGAUGGGAAACGGGUUAAUAUUCCCGUACUUGGUGUUACUGCGAAGGGGGGACGGAGAAGGCUAUGUUGGCCGGGCGACGGUUGUCCCGGUUUAAGCGUGUAGGUGUGUGUUCCAGGUAAAUCCGGUUCACUUUAACACUGAGGCGUGAUGACGAGGCACUACGGUGCUGAAGCAACAAAUGCCCUGCUUCCAGGAAAAGCCUCUAAGCAUCAGGUAACAUCAAAUCGUACCCCAAACCGACACAGGUGGUCAGGUAGAGAAUACCAAGGCGCUUGAGAGAACUCGGGUGAAGGAACUAGGCAAAAUGGUGCCGUAACUUCGGGAGAAGGCACGCUGACACGUAGGUGAAGUGAUUUACUCAUGGAGCUGAAGUCAGUCGAAGAUACCAGCUGGCUGCAACUGUUUAUUAAAAACACAGCACUGUGCAAACACGAAAGUGGACGUAUACGGUGUGACGCCUGCCCGGUGCCGGAAGGUUAAUUGAUGGGGUCAGCGCAAGCGAAGCUCCUGAUCGAAGCCCCGGUAAACGGCGGCCGUAACUAUAACGGUCCUAAGGUAGCGAAAUUCCUUGUCGGGUAAGUUCCGACCUGCACGAAUGGCGUAAUGAUGGCCAGGCUGUCUCCACCCGAGACUCAGUGAAAUUGAACUCGCUGUGAAGAUGCAGUGUACCCGCGGCAAGACGGAAAGACCCCGUGAACCUUUACUAUAGCUUGACACUGAACAUUGAGCCUUGAUGUGUAGGAUAGGUGGGAGGCUUUGAAGCGUGGACGCCAGUCUGCGUGGAGCCGACCUUGAAAUACCACCCUUUAAUGUUUGAUGUUCUAACGUGGACCCGUAAUCCGGGUUGCGGACAGUGUCUGGUGGGUAGUUUGACUGGGGCGGUCUCCUCCUAAAGAGUAACGGAGGAGCACGAAGGUUGGCUAAUCCUGGUCGGACAUCAGGAGGUUAGUGCAAUGGCAUAAGCCAGCUUGACUGCGAGCGUGACGGCGCGAGCAGGUGCGAAAGCAGGUCAUAGUGAUCCGGUGGUUCUGAAUGGAAGGGCCAUCGCUCAACGGAUAAAAGGUACUCCGGGGAUAACAGGCUGAUACCGCCCAAGAGUUCAUAUCGACGGCGGUGUUUGGCACCUCGAUGUCGGCUCAUCACAUCCUGGGGCUGAAGUAGGUCCCAAGGGUAUGGCUGUUCGCCAUUUAAAGUGGUACGCGAGCUGGGUUUAGAACGUCGUGAGACAGUUCGGUCCCUAUCUGCCGUGGGCGCUGGAGAACUGAGGGGGGCUGCUCCUAGUACGAGAGGACCGGAGUGGACGCAUCACUGGUGUUCGGGUUGUCAUGCCAAUGGCACUGCCCGGUAGCUAAAUGCGGAAGAGAUAAGUGCUGAAAGCAUCUAAGCACGAAACUUGCCCCGAGAUGAGUUCUCCCUGAGACUUAGAGUCUCCUGAAGGAACGUUGAAGACGACGACGUUGAUAGGCCGGGUGUGUAAGCGCAGCGAUGCGUUGAGCUAACCGGUACUAAUGAACCGUGAGGCUUAACC